rnacentral:tRNA from 1 species
GCCGCGGUGGCGGAACUGGCAGACGCGCUGGACUUAGGAUCCAGUGGCUUCGUGCCGUGCGAGUUCGACUCUCGCCCGCGGCA